UACGAAGGGGGCUAGCGUUGCUCGGAAUCACUGGGCGUAAAGCGCACGUAGGCGGCUUGUUAAGUCAGGGGUGAAAUCCUGGAGCUCAACUCCAGAACUGCCUUUGAUACUGGCAAGCUUGGAGUCCGGGAGAGGUGAGUGGAACUGCGAGUGUAGAGGUGAAAUUCGUAGAUAUUCGGAAGAACACCAGUGGCGAAGGCGACUCGCUGGACAAGUAUUGACGCUGAGGUGCGAAAGCGUGGGGAGCAAACAGG
rnacentral:rRNA from 1 species